AUCCAUACCAUGCUGAAUAUACCGGUUCUCGUUAGAUCACCGAAGUAAAUUGUCAUUGGGCGCGGUCAGUACUUGGGUGGGUGACCACAUGGGAACACCGCGUGCCGUU
rnacentral:rRNA from 1 species